rnacentral:rRNA from 1 species
CUAGGAAUCUGCCUGGUAGUGGGGGACAACGUUUCGAAAGGAACGCUAAUACCGCAUACGUCCUACGGGAGAAAGCAGGGGACCUUCGGGCCUUGCGCUAUCAGAUGAGCCUAGGUCGGAUUAGCUAGUUGGUGAGGUAAUGGCUCACCAAGGCGACGAUCCGUAACUGGUCUGAGAGGAUGAUCAGUCACACUGGAACUGAGACACGGUCCAGACUCCUACGGGAGGCAGCAGUGGGGAAUAUUGGACAAUGGGCGAAAGCCUGAUCCAGCCAUGCCGCGUGUGUGAAGAAGGUCUUCGGAUUGUAAAGCACUUUAAGUUGGGAGGAAGGGCAUUAACCUAAUACGUUAGUGUUUUGACGUUACCGACAGAAUAAGCACCGGCUAACUCUGUGCCAGCAGCCGCGGUAAUACAGAGGGUGCAAGCGUUAAUCGGAAUUACUGGGCGUAAAGCGCGCGUAGGUGGUUUGUUAAGUUGGAUGUGAAAGCCCCGGGCUCAACCUGGGAACUGCAUCCAAAACUGGCAAGCUAGAGUACGGUAGAGGGUGGUGGAAUUUCCUGUGUAGCGGUGAAAUGCGUAGAUAUAGGAAGGAACACCAGUGGCGA